rnacentral:rRNA from 1 species
GGACUACACGGGUAUCUAAUCCUGUUUGCUCCCCACGCUUUCGCACCUCAGCGUCAGUUCCGGACCAGUAAGCCGCCUUCGCCACUGGUGUUCUUGCGAAUAUCUACGAAUUUCACCUCUACACUCGCAGUUCCACUUACCUCUUCCGGACUCGAGAUCCCCAGUAUCAAAGGCAGUUCCGAGGUUGAGCCUCGGGAUUUCACCCCUGACUUAAAGAUCCGCCUACGUGCGCUUUACGCCCAGUGAUUCCGAACAACGCUAGCCCCCUUCGUAUUACCGCGGCUGCUGGCAC